CAGUAGCCGCGGGAAUACGAAGGGGGCUAGCGUUGCUCGGAAUCACUGGGCGUAAAGGGUGCGUAGGCGGGUUUUUAAGUCAGAGGUGAAAUCCUGGAGCUCAACUCCAGAACUGCCUUUGAUACUGAAAGUCUUGAGUUCGGGAGAGGUGAGUGGAACUGCGAGUGUAGAGGUGAAAUUCGUAGAUAUUCGCAAGAACACCAGUGGCGAAGGCGGCUCACUGGCCCGAUACUGACGCUGAGGCACGAAAGCGUGGGGAGCAAACAGGAUUAGAUACCCGUGUAGUCCCUGUCUCUUAUAC
rnacentral:rRNA from 1 species